rnacentral:rRNA from 1 species
GGAACGUACCUUUUGGUUCGGAACAACUGAGGGAAACUUCAGCUAAUACCGGAUAAGCCCUUACGGGGAAAGAUUUAUCGCCGAAAGAUCGGCCCGCGUCUGAUUAGCUAGUUGGUGAGGUAAUGGCUCACCAAGGCGACGAUCAGUAGCUGGUCUGAGAGGAUGAUCAGCCACAUUGGGACUGAGACACGGCCCAAACUCCUACGGGAGGCAGCAGUGGGGAAUAUUGGACAAUGGGCGCAAGCCUGAUCCAGCCAUGCCGCGUGAGUGAUGAAGGCCCUAGGGUUGUAAAGCUCUUUUGUGCGGGAAGAUAAUGACGGUACCGCAAGAAUAAGCCCCGGCUAACUUCGUGCCAGCAGCCGCGGUAAUACGAAGGGGGCUAGCGUUGCUCGGAAUCACUGGGCGUAAAGGGUGCGUAGGCGGGUCUUUAAGUCAGGGGUGAAAUCCUGGAGCUCAACUCCAGAACUGCCUUUGAUACUGAAGAUCUUGAGU